GUAAGGGCUCGCAGGCGGUUNCUUAAGUCUGAUGUGAAAGCCCCCGGCUCACCCGGGNAGGGUCAUUGGAAACUGGGGAACUUGAGUGCAGAAGAGGAGAGUGGAAUUCCACGUGUANCGGUGAAAUGCGUAGAGAUGUGGAGGAACACCAGUGGCGAAGGCGACUCUCUGGUCUGUAACUGACGCUGAGGAACGAAAGCGUGGGGAGCGAACAGGAUUANAUACCCUGGUANACCACGCCGNNAACGAUGAGUGCUAAGUGUUGGGGGGUUUCCGCCCCUUAGUGCUGCAGAUAACGCAUUAUGCACUCUGCGUGUGGAGGAGGGU
rnacentral:rRNA from 1 species